UACGUAGGGUGCAAGCGUUAAUCGGAAUUACUGGGCGUAAAGGGCGCGUAGGCGGCCCGCUAAGUCGAACGUGAAAUCCCCGGGCUCAACCCGGGAACUGCGUCCGAUACUGGCGGGCUUGAAUCCGGGAGAGGGAUGUGGAAUUCCAGGUGUAGCGGUGAAAUGCGUAGAUAUCUGGAGGAACACCGGUGGCGAAGGCGGCAUCCUGGACCGGUAUUGACGCUGAGGCGCGAAAGCCAGGGGAGCAAACGGG
rnacentral:rRNA from 1 species